rnacentral:rRNA from 1 species
CCUACGGGGGGCGGCAGUAGGGAAUAUUGGUUAAUCUGCGAAAGCGGGAACCAGCAACGCCGCGUGCACGAUGAAGGCCUUCGGGUUGUAAAGUGCUUUUUGAGAGGAUGAGGAAGGACAGUACUCUUAGAAUAAGCUUCGGCUAACUACGUGCCAGCAGCCCCGGUC